CGGGACGGGUGAGUAACGCGUGGGUAACCGUGCCUCAUACAGGGGGAUAACGGUUAGAAAUGACUGCUAAUACCGCAUAAGCGCACAGUACCGCAUGGUACAGUGCGAAAAACUCCGGUGGUAUGAGAUGGACCCGCGUCUGAUUAGCUAGUUGGUGAGGUAACGGCCCACCAAGGCGACGAUCAGUAGCCGACCUGAGAGGGUGACCGGCCACAUUGGGACUGAGACACGGCCCAG
rnacentral:rRNA from 1 species